UGUCCAGCAACUCCUAUCCCUACCUUCUCGCGGUAUUGCCCGGGGUACAAGUAACCUUAUAGAAGAUCACUUAACCAACCCCGGUGAGAACUCUGGUCGUAUGCUGACAGGGAAGC
rnacentral:ribozyme from 1 species